AUCAAAAUUACAUUAGUUUUUAGGGCAAUAUCUCACACCUCGAUCUUUUUGUACAUCGAAUCGCAAGGACGACGCGGCCCUCGGAGCCCUUCGCCACCGCCGGUGUCCGAGAGGACCUGCCGCCGUCUUCCCCACCAAGAUCUCCACCCUCUCCCCCGCCAGCGUCAUCCACUCACGUUCUUUCCUUAAAGCGGGGAGGCCCCAGAUCGAGUUGAGCAAGUCAGGGGCCGCCGCCGACGCGGAUCCCCACGAACGAGCCAGCCAUCGCCGCUGCGGUUCCCCACGAACGAGCCAGCCAUCGCCGCCUCGGAUCCCCACGGACGCCGCCGCGGAUCACCACCGUAGCCCUCUCCUUCUCCCCCUCCGUCCUUUGGGGAGAAGAGCUUCUGCGGUAGGUCGUUGUCGGCGGCGGUAUCACACCUCUCACUCGUCUUCUAUCAGAUUGUGCCAGACCAACCAUCAAGUUAUUUUCACCUGGCAACAUGUGCUCGUGAUGCCAUUUGAAUUUUCGAGCAAGUCUCGGUCUUUCCUGGUCCGGCUAUCCAGGCGACAAAUGCCAACUUGGUAGCAGUUAUCGAGCAUGGCUAAGAAGAAGUGGGUAGGGGUUGGUGCGACUAAGGCCCCGUUCGUAAUCUCUCUGCUCCUCCACUCCGCGGAGUUGGUGGAGCUCGGUCUUCGCAGCUCCAUUAAAGUGAGGUCCGCUCCGGGAGCAGAGUUAAGAGAGCGGAGAGGAACCGAACGCUUCCUAACUGUACUUGCUUCCUAGAGAACAACUAUCACAAAUCACAUGCAAGUUCAGUCGUCGUGAGCUAUAGUAUUCGACAAAAAUGUACAUGGCAUUGAGCUAUAAUAUUUAUUUCGUUUUCAUUCUUAUAAUAUAAAGUUCAGUGUUACUUCCA